GUGGGGAAUUUUGGACAAUGGGCGAAAGCCUGAUCCAGCCAUGCCGCGUGCAGGAUGAAGGCCUUCGGGUUGUAAACUGCUUUUGUACGGAACGAAACGGUCCGGGUUAAUACCCUGGGCUAAUGACGGUACCGUAAGAAUAAGCACCGGCUAACUACGUGCCAGCAGCCGCGGUAAUACGUAGGGUGCAAGCGUUAAUCGGAAUUACUGGGCGUAAAGCGUGCGCAGGCGGUUUUGUAAGACAGGCGUGAAAUCCCCGGGCUCAACCUGGGAAUUGCGCUUGUGACUGCAAGGCUGGAGUGCGGCAGAGGGGGAUGGAAUUCCGCGUGUAGCAGUGAAAUGCGUAGAUAUGCGGAGGAACACCGAUGGCGAAGGCAAUCCCCUGGGCCUGCACUGACGCUCAUGCACGAAAGCGUGGGGAGCAAACAGGAUUAGAAACCCCUGUAGUCC
rnacentral:rRNA from 1 species